rnacentral:rRNA from 1 species
UACAGAGGUGGCAAGCGUUGCUCGGAAUCACUGGGCGUAAAGGGUGCGUAGGCGGGUCUUUUAAGUCAGAGGUGAAAUCCUGGAGCUCAACUCCAGAACUGCCUUUGAUACUGAGGAUCUUGAGUUCGGGAGAGGUGAGUGGAACUGCGAGUGUAGAGGUGAAAUUCGUAGAUAUUCGCAAGAACACCAGUGGCGAAGGCGGCUCACUGGCCCGGUACUGACGCUGAGGCACGAAAGCGUGGGGAGCAAACAGG